rnacentral:rRNA from 1 species
CGGAGGGUGCAAGCGUUAAUCGGAAUUACUGGGCGUAAAGCGCACGCAGGCGGUCAAUUAAGUCAGAUGUGAAAGCCCCGAGCUUAACUUGGGAAUUGCAUCUGAAACUGGUUGGCUAGAGUCUUGUAGAGGGGGUAGAAUUCCACGUGUAGCGGUGAAAUGCGUAGAGAUGUGGAGGAAUACCGGUGGCGAAGGCGGCCCCCUGGACAAAGACUGACGCUCAGGUGCGAAAGCGUGGGGAGCAAACAGGAUU